rnacentral:lncRNA from 1 species
GUGCUCUCCUAGGAGCUGAUUCUGAUUAUGAAAUGGGAGUGAAGGCCUCCUCAGUGACAGGGGGGUCUCAUCCAUUCCCUCAUUACUUGUCUGUGCUUUUCUUGCUAGAGGUGCAUAGAGAAAACUACCAUGGUAAGGAUGGGAAUGAGUGGGGCUAAAGCCUUUAAAUGAAGUGUUUAUAUUUUAAAGGGCUUGAAAUUUAUGUUUAAAGUGCUAUUUCUAAAUGAGAUUACAGAGACCAAAAAUAUAUGAUUUAUA